CGCCAGGUUGGACGGGCGAGCAGUAAACAGACCCUGUGCCAACACGAGGAUGGCAUGCAGGCCGUGGAUGAUUUCAGCGAGUCUGAAAGAAAACCGUCUGAUCAGAAGAGUCUCUAGGCAGCGUGUGUGGAUUGUAGCCAGGUGUUUCCGGUAGGACGAUCAAGGAUAGAGAAGAAAGCCGUUUGUUCAUCAUUAGGGAGAACAGCGUUGGCAUGAAUUUAGUGCUAGAACGUAGGAACGAUUGGCUUAUUAGACAGAAUCUGGGUAAAGUCUAAAUACCACAAGCCACCAGAAUGUCUUCAGUGCCCCAUAGUAAUGAUUUACAAUUCUCUGGAGCGGUCCUAGAGUGAUGAACACAAUACUUCCUACAGAGAGGGAGUGCACGGUCUAACAGGUCGCUCCCAAGUCCCUUGUAGAUGUGUAACUAGGUUGAGAGCUGGUACGUCUGAAGGCAAGCAUCUGAUUUACAUCAUCUUCAAUCAACCCAUUCAGUGAGCCCUCAUGCACUCCGAAUGGGGGUGGAAUCAUCCUGGAAGAAACCACACCCAUCAGGAUAGACAUCCCUUUUUUCAUUUUAGGGUAUAGAUGAUCAUUCAGAAGAACUUGGAGUUCAUAUGCAGGGGAGCCAAAUAUUACUGGAGUUCGAAUGUGGCUUAAGUGAUUUUACAUUGAAGUACUUUGAUGUUUACAAACGUCUGGAGAAUCACUGGAUACUCUAGACAUAAUGACAAAAGGUGACUACAGGAACUGUUUCCAGGAAUGGGACAAGUGUAUCAUAUCACAAGGAGAGUACGGUGAAGGGGAUUCAAAGUUAUAUAUACACACUUCGCUGUAAGGACUUGAGGGGGUGGAGCUACGUUACAAUUCAAGCUGCACAUGGGAUUGUUACGGAAGAGACACCACAAACCUGCUAGAAAGAUUUGGUGAAAAUUUGAUCAGCCUCAGGCCUAGUCCACAUGUAUAUGGAUAUUUCUGAACACGUACAUUUUUAGUAAUUUUGUCAUGUCGUUGUUCAAACAGAAAAAGAGAGCACAAACCUCUGAUUUGAGGACACCAGCCCCAGGAUCGUACAGCAGUUCUAAAAUGAAGGAAAGGGAGGGAAAAAAAAGGAUCUGCAUAUGGAAAUGGAUGGGGAGUCGUAUAACGUAUCGUAUAUUCUGGCGCUUAAACUCGACGGUGUGAUAAUAAAACCGAUCCGACAGAAGACGUCAUCAAAUACUGAAAAUAUACGCCGCAAAAAAAAAAGAACAUGGUCUCACAUCUGCACAUGAUGCUGGCUCUAUACCUGUCUCAAAAAUUAGAAUAACCUGGAAAAGUUCAUUCGAUCCCCUUGUGAUUUAAUUCAAAAAGUUGGGCCUUCAUAUAUUCUAGACUCGCGUAUGAACGUUCUGCAUUAUAAACGCUAUUCUAAUAGUUUGAGAUACUGGAUUUUUGAUUUCCAUGAGCUGUAAACAACAAAAUUAAAAAAAAAACAGCUUAAAUUUUCACUUUCUGUGUAAUGAAUCUACAACAUAUGAAAAGUUCCACUUUUUGAAUUCAAUUAUGGGGGGGGGAUAAUUUUUUUUUUUGAGAUCGGAGAAGUCGACAGGAAAGCCCAAAUGGAGAAUGUGUUCAGCGAGACACACCACCCACACUGUCAUAUGAGAAGUAUACGCUAUUAUAGUGUCAUUUGAAACGUUCCAGUUGUCAGCAGUUGGUUAAUGAAUGACAAAGCCAGCGGGGGAUUUGUUCCUCCCCCAGCUCUUUUCCUCCCCACUGUAUUAGAAGAGGGUAUGAGAAAGGAACUGAUCCUAAAAAUAAGCCAAUGAAUAGGCGUUGUGAAUAAUCACAGCACCUGCGCGAGUUUCUGGGCCAAAACAAAUACUCGGCCUACGGCGCACUCCGGGACGAGAGACGAGUUGUAUUGUGUGUGUAUACAAGUAUUUUUUCCUCUCUGACCUUUAACUCCACCACACCGUGGGUAACCUGGGCCGUUUUAAACGUGAGCCCGAAUAUUGAAUUAUAAACAGGGAGUCGUUUCUUUUUCCUAAAAAGGUGCUUUAAUAUAAUGUCAUAGUCUGGAAGAAAAUUUGCAACAAACCAUGGAUCACAUCACCUCGAAACGCACUGCGCAGCCUCUCGGCCCCGGCUUUCAGAGAUGCGGUGAAAGUCGGCAUGGCUUUCCAAAACAUUUACUUUAUAUAUAUAAAAAAAAAAAAAAAAAAAAAAAAAAAAAAGACAGAACCCCAAGUGGAUGUAAUGCUUAGAAAUUCUAAAUGUAAUCUUGAUACGAUAACUAGUUGUGCCUUUAGAUAGUAGUGGAAGAAAAAAACAAAA